UGGCUCCUGAAGUGUACGCCAGUGUAUAAUUUUUACCCACAACUCAUUUAUUGGAGUUUGAUUUUUGAUGUGGAUGUAAUGCCUCCUUGUAGAGGACUGUUGAAGCAUUGAAUAGAACACCACCCUGCUACAUAGCGGGUGAAAAAAUUUACACAACGGCACUUUGGGGCUGU
rnacentral:other from 1 species